rnacentral:rRNA from 1 species
GAUGAACGCUGGCGGCGUGCCUAAUACAUGCAAGUCGAGCGAACGGACGAGAAGCUUGCUUUUCUGAUGUUAGCGGCGGACGGGUGAGUAACACGUGGAUAACCUACCUAUAAGACUGGGAUAACUUCGGGAAACCGGAGCUAAUACCGGAUAAUAUUUUGAACCGCAUGGUUCGAAAGUGAAAGACGGUCUUGCUGUCACUUAUAGAUGGAUCCGCGCUGCAUUAGCUAGUUGGUAAGGUAACGGCUUACCAAGGCAACGAUGCAUAGCCGACCUGAGAGGGUGAUCGGCCACACUGGAACUGAGACACGGUCCAGACUCCUACGGGAGGCAGCAGUAGGGAAUCUUCCGCAAUGGGCGAAAGCCUGACGGAGCAACGCCGCGUGAGUGAUGAAGGUCUUCGGAUCGUAAAACUCUGUUAUUAGGGAAGAACAUAUGUGUAAGUAACUGUGCACAUCUUGACGGUACCUAAUCAGAAAGCCACGGCUAACUACGUG